CUGCAGGCAGUUAAGCCAACAGGGUUUCUUUCCUCACAUGGGGGGAUGGGACAGUGUGCAAAGGCUGCAAACUGCAGCCUCCUUGGUAGGAUAUGCAUCCUGUUGCUUGCACUGGUUUCCCAAGGAACCAUGGAGAGUUUU